UGGGGAAUAUUGCACAAUGGGCGCAAGCCUGAUGCAGCCAUGCCGCGUGUAUGAAGAAGGCCUUCGGGUUGUAAAGUACUUUCAGCGAGGAGGAAGGCGGUAAGGUUAAUAACCUUAUCGAUUGACGUUACUCGCAGAAGAAGCACCGGCUAACUCCGUGCCAGCAGCCGCGGUAAUACGGAGGGUGCAAGCGUUAAUCGGAAUUACUGGGCGUAAAGCGCACGCAGGCGGGCUGUCAAGUCGGAUGUGAAAGCCCCGGGCUCAACCUGGGAACUGCAUUCGAAACUGGCAGGCUAGAGUCUUGUAGAGGGGGGUAGAAUUCCAGGUGUAGCGGUGAAAUGCGUAGAGAUCUGGAGGAAUACCGGUGGCGAAGGCGGCCCCCUGGACAAAGACUGACGCUCAGGUGCGAAAGCGUGGGGAGCAAACA
rnacentral:rRNA from 1 species